AUUGAACGCUGGCGGCAGGCCUAACACAUGCAAGUCGAACGAGUCGCAGGCGGGAGAAUUAUCUGUGGGAAACUGCCUGGGAGAGGGGGAUAACUACUGGAAAGGGUAGACAAUCCCGUAUUCUAUCGGGUGUCCCGAGAUGGGAUUAGCUAGUGGGUGGGGUAAAGGCGCACCUAGGCGAAGAUCCCUAGGUGGUCUGAGAGGAUGACCAGCCACACUGGAACUGAGACACGGUCCAGACUCCUACGGGAGGCAGCAGUGGGGAAUAUUGCACAAUGGGCGAAAGCCUGAUCCAGCCAUGCCGCGUGUAUGAAGAAGGCCUUCGGAUUGUAAAGUACUUUCAGCGGGGAGGCGUUACCCUCAGAAGAAGCACCGGCUAACUCCGUGCCAGCAGCCGCGGUAAUAC
rnacentral:rRNA from 1 species